rnacentral:rRNA from 1 species
CGGCGACGCCGAGCGGAACCCGAAAGCCCUCCCAGUUCGGAUCGGAGCCUGCAACCCGGCUCCGUGAAGCUGGAUUCGCUAGUAAUCGCGCAUCAGCCAUGGCGCGGUGAAUACGUUCCCGGGCCUUGUACACACCGCCCGUCAAGCCAUGGGAGCCGGGGGUGCUUGAAGUGCGUCGCCGCAAGGCGCGCCCUAGAGCAAAACCGGUGACUGGGGCUAAGUCGUAACAAGGUAUC